AUGACAGAGAUUAGUGAGUUUCCAAGUUGCACUUGAAUGCAGCACAGACAGCUUCUGAUGUUCGUGGUUGUAAACGUGUCCUCAAACGCCUCUCUGACUCCUUCCUUCCUGCUCAAAGUUCCUCUUUUCUGAACUUGGUGUUUGUGACUGAUGCUGAUCGUCUCCGUGUGAAGCUCCGUGUGAAGAUGGAGGAUCAGUAACAGGAGCGUGGGAAGACUCCAGAAUCCACCCUGGCUGGAAUCCGGUGGAUACAGCAGUGUUACAGAUUUCAGAAGAGCAAAGAUGAGGACUCCUACUUCAUCCUUAAUAGUUUAACCUGAUUGGAAAUCAAAAAAAUCCUGAUUCUUCUUCCACAGAAGUUUCAUUUGUCAGUGUGGAUCUGCUGAGUCACCUGAAGAACUCAUUUCAUUCUCCACGAUGUUGAUUUACAGAAAUGUUUCACAGGAACUGAUUCCUCCCAAAGGGUGAACUAGUGUGUUUCCAUAGAUUAUCUCUGUAUGAAUGUACUUCUUAAAUGAAGGCAAGCGUUUGUCCUGUUUUGUUCCUCAGGUACAGUACGUGAUAUUAAGGGCAGGUGGUCAUCACUGGGGGAAGACAAGAAGCAGACGUACUUCCAAGAGGGAGCUGCAGUGAACACAGCCUGGUCACUGAGGUCAGAGGAGGCGCUGAAAGGUUUCCCUAAUAGUUCCUGGUGAAUCCAAGCAGAACCAUAAAGGUUGCUGGACUGCAUCGUGGCCUUACCCCUGAGAAGUCAUCCUGUUAAAGGAGGAACCAGUUAGAAGCUGUUUUCAAAGUAGCUGAGCAGAUUUCAUCUCAAUAGAUCAAAGCAGCUCGUGCUCUUUCUGCUUCCAUUCUGAUGGCAAGAAGAAGAAGAAGGAGAAGAAUGCUUCAGCGAAGUGGCGUUCAUGGUCUCAGUGGACAGUCAUGGUCACACACUGCAUGUGGUUUUAAAAGCAACAUUGUUCACCACAACAAUGGAGAUGUGUAAUAUUAGUGCAGCUACAGUUUGUUCUUGAACAUCAGUUCUGUUUUCUACUUCGACCACUUAGACCAAAAAAGUGUUGUUUUCAGAUUCUUUCUUAUAAAUCUGUAAAGCACCUGUUCAUUUUUUAUUACAAUUAGUUUCACAUAAAUGUUAGUGUUUCCUUUAUGGUCUUUUAAUGCUUACACUAGACUGUACACGUCUACAUUAGAGACAUUUCUGUUACCUAUUUAUGAGAGUGGGCUGCUUUACUACAAUUUGGAAAUGGAUGCAAAAUCGUGCUAUUGUUUGUUUUUUAAUAUGAUUCAAUUCAAUUCAAUAAAACUUUAUUGAUCCUGAAGGUUGACCCCGAGGGAAAUUUGGGUUAAGGCCAACACAGGACGUGUCUGACUAAGCAAAGAUUAAUCUGAUCCCAUUUCUACCUGUCUCUACUGUUUCAGGAUAUAUAUUUAUUCCAGCUCUCAUAGGGCAAAGGAAUGACUCAGACGUGUCAAAUGUUCUUUGACUUGAUAAACAAUUUAAAGUUCACAAUUUUCUUACAAAUAAAACUUUAAUGACAAA